rnacentral:rRNA from 1 species
CAGUAGCCGCGGGAAUACAGAGGUCUCAAGCGUUGUUCGGAUUCAUUGGGCGUAAAGGGUGCGUAGGUGGCGGUGUAAGUCUAACGUGAAACCUCGGGGCUCAACCUCGAAAUUGCGUCGGAUACUGCAUUGCUAGAGGAUUGUAGAGGAGAGUGGAAUUCAUGGUGUAGCAGUGAAAUGCGUAGAUAUCAUGAGGAAGACCAGUUGCGAAGGCGACUCUCUUGGCAAUUCCUGACACUGAGGCACGAAGGCUAGGGGAGCAAACGGGAUUAGAUACCCGCGUAGUCCCUGUCUCUUAUAC